rnacentral:tRNA from 2 species
GCCCGGCUAGCUCAAUCGGUAGAGCGUGAACUCUUAAUCUCAAGGUUGUUGUGGGUUCGACCCCCACGUCGGGCU